rnacentral:rRNA from 1 species
UACGUAGGGGGCAAGCGUUGUCCGGAUUCAUUGGGCGUAAAGAGCGUGUAGGCGGCCAGGUAGGUCGGUUGUGAAAACUGGAGGCUCAACCUUCAGAGGUCGACCGAAACCAUCUGGCUAGAGUCCGGGAGAGGAGAGUGGAAUUCCUGGUGUAGCGGUGAAAUGCGCAGAUAUCAGGAAGAACACCCGUGGCGAAAGCGGCUCUCUGGGAUGGUACUGACGCUGAGACGCGAAAGCGUGGGGAGCGAACAGG